UUGUCUCAAAGAUUAAGCCAUGCAUGUCUCAGUACAAGCCAUAUUAAGGUGAAACCGCGAAAGGCUCAUUAAAUCAGUUAUGGUUCCUUAGAUCGUACCCACAUUUACUUGGAUAACUGUGGUAAUUCUAGAGCUAAUACAUGCAAACAGAGCUCCGACCGGAGACGGAAGGAGCGCUUUUAUUAGAUCAAAACCAAUCGGUGGCGGGUUUUCGCUCGUCAUCGUACAACUUGGUGACUCUGAAUAACUUUACGCUGAUCGCAUGGUCUAGCACCGGCGACGCAUCUUUCAAAUGUCUGCCUUAUCAACUGUCGAUGGUAGGUUCUGCGCCUACCAUGGUUGUAACGGGUAACGGGGAAUCAGGGUUCGAUUCCGGAGAGGGAGCCUGAGAAACGGCUACCACAUCCAAGGAAGGCAGCAGGCGCGCAAAUUACCCACUCCCGGCACGGGGAGGUAGUGACGAAAAAUAACGAUACGGGACUCUUCCGAGGCCCCGUAAUCGGAAUGAGUACACUCUAAACCCUUUAACGAGGAUCAAUUGGAGGGCAAGUCUGGUGCCAGCAGCCGCGGUAAUUCCAGCUCCAAUAGCGUAUAUUAAAGUU
rnacentral:rRNA from 1 species